rnacentral:rRNA from 1 species
UACGGGGGGAGCAAGCGUUGUUCGGAUUUACUGGGCGUAAAGGGCGCGUAGGCGGCGCAACAAGUCACUUGUGAAAUCUCCGGGCUUAACCCGGAGCGGCCAAGUGACACUGUCGUGCCAGAGUGCGGAAGGGGCUACUGGAAUUCUCGGUGUAGCGGUGAAAUGCGUAGAUAUCGAGAGGAACACCUGCGGCGAAGGCGGGUAGCUGGGCCGACACUGACGCUGAGGCGCGAAAGCCAGGGGAGCGAACGGGAUUAGAUACCCCGGUAGUCCUGGCCUUAAACGAUGGAUACUUGGUGUCCGGGGUUACAUAGUCCCCGGGUGCCGGCGCUAACGCAUUAAGUAUCCCGCCUGGGGAGUACGGUCGCAAGACUGAA